GAUGGCAUCACCAGAAACCAAGAAGAUGGUAAGGCCUGGAGGUGGCAGAGCUGAAGAGAGUACAUGACCCAGCAGAAGAAAUAAGCACAAAUACAAAUGGUGACAGAAAAAUAAGAUGUGUCACAACUGACUUAGAUUCCAACAACCACAACAGCACAGAGGAGGAAGCGAGGUGGUGCUCCCUGGAAUGACCCAAACACAACAAUAUCUGAGCUUGCUCUUGAAGGACUAGCAGUUUACCAAGCAAAAUGGAAAACAGAAAUUGAGUCCAGGUCUAGAUAUCAAGAAGCACAAAGAGAUCCAGAAAAGACCAUGGAGAAUUCAAAGACCAGCAACAGGCUUCAAAAGCCUUCUAUGAAUAGGGCAUGUAAGGAUUUGCUGGGGGCAAGGGUGGGUUUGAGAGCUGGAGAUGGAGAUGAAAUUAGUGAACACCAUGCCUCUCUCUUGUACUAAAGAGGCCGCAGGGAAGACAAAGCUCAGUUGUAUUCAACAAAGGCCACUCAGGUAGCACCAUAAAGGAAGAGCUGUAACACGGACACGGGAGUAGUGGAAUCAGUCAAGAGGGAAUUUCAAAGGUCAAAGAUGAAAGGCUGGCUGGGCGCGGUGGCUCACGCUUGUAAUCCCAGCACUUUGGGAGGCCGAGGUGGGCGGAUCACGGGGUCAGGAGAUAGAGACCAUCCUGGCCAACAAGGUGAAACCGCAUCUCUACUAAAAUACAAAAAAUUAGCCGGGCAUGGUGGUGCGUGCCUAUAGUUCCAGCUACUCCGGAGGCUGAGGCAGGGGAAUCUCUUGAACCCAGGAGGCAGAGCUUGCAGUGAGCCAAGAUCGCGCCACUGCACUCAAGCCUGGAGACAGAGGGAAAGUCCAUCUCAAAAAAAAAAAAAAAAAAAAAGGCAUGGACCCUUCUCCUCUCACCCCCCAGCACAUAUGAAGGGGUAUGGACAGUGUUGGAACAAGAUGGUCUUGGAUUCAGAAAUAAAAGGAGUCAGAAGCUGAAGACCUAAGGGUAACACAAGACUUCCGGGUUCUGGCCGGGCGCGGUGGCUCACGCCUGUAAUCCCAGCACUUUGGGAGGCCGAGGCGGGCGGAUCACGAGGUCAGGAGAUCGAGACCAUCCCGGCUAAAACGGCGAAACCCCGUCUCUACUAAAAAUACAAAAAAUUAGCCGGGCGUAGUGGCGGGCGCCUGUAGUCCCAGCUACUUGGGAGGCUGAGGCAGGAGAAUGGCGUGAACCCGGGAGGCGGAGCUUGCAGUGAGCCGAGAUCCCGCCACUGCACUCCAGCCUGGGCGACAGAGCGAGACUCCGUCUCAAAAAAAAAAAAAAAAGACUUCCGGGUUCUGAAAGCAGUGCAGCUUGGAAUUUUCAGAAAGUGAAUUGACUUCCUGUAGCUGAUUGUUUUUUAUUUUAGGAAAAUAAAAAUUAUUACUUUUUGUUUAAAUGACAAAGGUUGAACUGGUUUGUUGAACUUUAUGGAUGGAGCCAGCCAACAGGAUGACAUUGUGGCAGAGAAAGAAGCUUGCAGCUUCUUGCAUCAGAAAAUCAGAUAGAGCCUCUCUGGCAAGAAGCUGCAGACACAAAAGAAGCUUGCAUUGAAGACGGCAGGAAUGCAAAAUGGCAAGAGGCUCCAUCCUUGAAUCACCAUUUGGAGAAGAGUUAACUGACAAACAAGAUCUGCACUGAAUUAUAUGUUCUGAACAUUGACAGCCAACAUCAGCUCUAAUGAGAGACAACUCUGAUGAGAUUCUGAAGUGUACAGCUUUUGAAUCAUUGAAGGAUUCAAUUGUUUUUCAUAUAAUCUGGCGCCACAGGGAGCCAGGAUAGGAGGACAACAUGGUGGAUCCAGCAUGGAACUUACAACUGAGGCUAGUUUGAUGAGUCUCGCUCUGUCGCCCAGGCUGGAGUACGGUGGCGGAUCUCGGCUCACUGCAAGCUCCGCCUCCCAGAUUCAUGCCAUUCUCCUGCCUCAGCCUCCCGAGUAGUUGGGA
rnacentral:lncRNA from 10 species